UACGGAGGGUGCAAGCGUUAAUCGGAAUUACUGGGCGUAAAGCGCGCGUAGGCGGUUUGCUAAGUCAGAUGUGAAAUCCCCGGGCUCAACCUGGGAAUGGCAUUUGAGACUGGUAGGCUAGAAUGUGGUAGAGGUGAGUGGAAUUCCAGGUGUAGCGGUGAAAUGCGUAGAGAUCUGGAGGAACAUCAGUGGCGAAGGCGACUCACUGGGCCAUUAUUGACGCUGAGGUGCGAAAGCGUGGGUAGCAAACAGGAUUAGAUACCCGCGUAGUCC
rnacentral:rRNA from 1 species